AGCAGCCGCGGUAAUUCCAGCUCCAAUAGCGUAUAUUAAAGUUGUUGCAGUUAAAAAGCUCGUAGUUGAAUUUCGGGACUAAUAUGUCGGUCGUACUUUGUACGUACUAGCAUUAUUGGUUUCUCCCUUCUGACGAACCACGAUGUCAUUAAUUUGGUGUCUUGGGAAAUCAGGACUGUUACUUUGAAAAAUUAGAGUGUUUAAAGCAAGCUCGCGCUUGAAUACAUUAGCAUGGAAUAAUGAAAUAGGACGUUUGAUUCUAUUUUGUUGGUUUCUAGGAUCGACGUAAUGAUUAAUAGGGAUAGUUGGGGGCAUUAGUAUUCAAUUGUCAGAGGUGAAAUUCUUGGAUUUAUUGAAGACUAACUACUGCGAAAGCAUUUGCCAAGGAUGUUUUCAUUAAUCAAGAACGAAAGUUAGGGGAUCGAAGACGAUCAGAUACCGUCGUAGUCUUAACCAUAAACUAUGCCGACUAGGGAUCGGAUGAUGUUAAUUUUUA
rnacentral:sRNA from 1 species